UACGUAGGUGGCAAGCGUUGUCCGGAUUUAUUGGGUUUAAAGGGUGCGUAGGCGGUCUUAUAAGUCAGUGCUGAAAUAUCCCGGCUUAACCGGGAGGGUGGCAUUGAUACUGUAGGACUUGAGUAGAGUUGAGGUUGGCGGAAUUGACGGUGUAGCGGUGAAAUGCUUAGAUAUCGUCAAGAACACCGAUAGUGAAGACAGCGAACUAAGCUCUAACUGACGCUGAGGCACGAAAGUGUGGGGAUCAAACAGG
rnacentral:rRNA from 1 species